GCGACACUGCCAUCUGAUAUUAAUAAUACUUUUCGUUGGGAAUGCUGUCAGUGUCGGUCGGGAAAGUUUGAACAGAACAGCCAGCCACUGGAGCCAGCUCCGACACACACACAAGCAAACACACAUUCGGUUUGUGCUGCCCCAAGGAGGCAUCCAUCAACUGGAGCAUCAAUCACUCCACAGGCAAACACUGAGGUUCAACUGAGUCAAAGCGGAGAAAUGGUUUUUCUCGAACUCACAGAAGGUGGCAUUUGCCGAUGCUUUUGCUUAUUCAAGGACUUUGAUUGAGAUUUCAAGCCAUUAAAGGUCCGAUUCACUUUCAAUGAUUUUCAUGAAUGCAGCCGCAAUUUACAGAUUUAAAGACAUCUACAGACGAUUCCUUGUACAGGAGCCAGAGUCAGAGGAGUCAACUACCUCCACCACCGGAUGAUGCUGCUGCUGGAGGCAAAACCGAUGGACCACCGAUAACGCCAUUAUCGAGUCGGACGGCGGCCAUUCUUCCAAUGGCCCCAUGAACACCUGACAGCAAGGGUUGUCCCCCGGAAGUCAUUGGACUGGCAGCAGGCGAAAAUAUAUGUUUUUUUUUUGGUCCUGCUGUUUGGCGAUGGUCCCUGAAGGUAUUCCGCUUUCCCUGGUGGGAUUCCCGGGAAAUAAUACUAUGCUGGUUGGAUACUUCUUGCUGGGAACUAUACGGAGCGCAUCUCGACCGUCUGUAUACCGAUGACCUACCAACAGUGUCGUCAUGCUUUAUCGAGUACUUCCAAAAUCGAAACUUAGAGCUAAGAAAACAGUAAGACCCAUCUAAAAACAAUAAAAUUUUCCUGGAAAGCUUGGUCGAUAGCCCGCUUGCACAUCCAUAUUUAACUGAAACUCA
rnacentral:sRNA from 1 species